CAGUCGCCGCGGGAAUACGUAGGUAGCAAGCGUUGUCCGGAAUUAUUGGGCGUAAAGGGCUCGCAGGCGGUUUCUUAAGUCUGAUGUGAAAGCCCACGGCUCAACCGUGGAGGGUCAUUGGAAACUGGAAAACUUGAGUGCAGAAGAGGAAAGUGGAAUUCCAUGUGUAGCGGUGAAAUGCGCAGAGAUAUGGAGGAACACCAGUGGCGAAGGCGACUUUCUGGUCUGUAACUGACGCUGAUGUGCGAAAGCGUGGGGAUCAAACAGGAUUAGAUACCCCUGUAGUCCCUGUCUCUUAUAC
rnacentral:rRNA from 1 species